UUCUAUUAAAACACAGGUCUUUGGGACCUGUCAGCUGUGGCAGUCUCCCUUCCUAGCCAUGGAAGAGCAUAUUCUUGUUUAUAGGCAAAGCUGUCACCAUUUAAUUGGUAUCAGAUUCUGACUUGCACAAAUAACAUUC